rnacentral:ncRNA from 1 species
UAUUAUGCAUGUGGGGCUCUCCUUACUGUCUGCCGUGUACUUUUAUUUUGGCGCGGCAAAUGCAAGCUCUUCGUGACAUAAAAAAAGGAGGAAUUCAUUUCCCUUUGGCUCGGGGUGCGGCAGUGUGGAGACCUGUCGUAAUGCGGGUGGCUUUUGCCCCUGCGAGGCCGCAUCAGGAGGAUUCCGUGCGGUUGGAGCCGUGUAGGUAUGGCA